rnacentral:rRNA from 1 species
AACGGGGGGGGGCAAGCGUUAUUCGUCUUUACUGGGCGUAAAGGGUCUGUAGGCAGUCGUUACCAGUUAGCACGACACUUCGUGAUUUUACUCACAUUUUGUGCUUUACUUUGAAACGUUCUAGAAUUCGGCAGAGGUUUACGGUACCUGCGAAGGAGGGGUGAAAUCCUUUGAUAGCGUUAGGAACCACCAGAGGCGGAAGCGGUAUGCCAUGUCGAAUUGACGCUGAGGGACGGAAAGCGUGGGGAGCGAACGGG